CCUGGACUCUAUGCACAAAUUGUGAAACUGACACAGAAACGAGGUUAUCUGCUAGCCUAGUAUCUGUAGUGUCCCUUUAAUACCACGCAAGCCCCCCGCACCCCUGUAUCUUUCCAUACCUUAUAUGAAACAUACUCCUUUUAUAUAUUACUUCCUAUGUAGCCUAACCUACAUAUACCAAAUGUCAAAAACCAUUGCAAGAAAACAGAACACUAUAGGAUUAAGUGAUGAUGGCCCGUUCAUCUCGAUGAUGGCCCGUGUGCCAUGUGCCCCAUUGUAACCCUGCAGUUUAAAACAUUGCUGUACAAAUCACAGAGCUCCAUUUAUGGUUUUCCAUUAUUUCAUCUAGAUAUGGCACAGGUCUCUCAUAGUCUAUCGGAGAGAGGAAUGUUAAUAAGGCACAAUUGAUGG